rnacentral:rRNA from 1 species
CCUACGGGUGGCAGCAGUGAGGAAUAUUGGUCAAUGGCCGGAAGGCUGAACCAGCCAAGCCGCGUGAGGGAGGAAGGCGCAGAGCGUCGCAGACCUCUUUUGCCGGGGGAAAAAAGGCAGGACGCGGCCGGUGCUGAGGGUACCCGGAGAAAAAGCAUCGGCUAACUCCGUGCCAGCAGCCGCGGUAAGACGGAGGAUGCGAGCGUUAUCCGGAUUUAUUGGGUUGAAAGGGAGCGUAGGCCGCAUGUCAAGCGUGCUGUGAAAGGUCCGGGCUCACCCCGGUCCUUGCAGGGCUAACUGGCGUGCUUGCGUCCGCUGCACGCAGGCGGCCUUCGUCUUGUAGCGGU